GACGAACCGUGCAAACGUUAUUCGGAGUCACUGGGCUUAAAGGGCGCGUAGGCGGGCUCGCCAGUCAGGGGUGAAAGCCCACGGCUCAACCGUGGAAGUGCCUUUGAUACUGCGAGUCUCGAGGGAGGUAGGGGCGUGCGGAACUUCCGGUGGAGCGGUGAAAUGCGUAGAUAUCGGAAGGAACAUCGGUGGCGAAAGCGGCGCGCUGGACCUCUUCUGACGCUGAGGCGCGAAAGCCAGGGGAGCAAACGGG
rnacentral:rRNA from 1 species